rnacentral:tRNA from 1 species
GUAAUGGGGCUCAGUGGUAGAGCACUUGCCUCACAGGUGUGAGGUACUGUGUUCGAUUUUCAGCACCACA